rnacentral:lncRNA from 1 species
UGAGUCUGGAAUCUAUUCUAACUGCUCUUUGGAUAGUGCUUUAACUUACCUCUCCCUUAUUGGUUUUCUUCUAUGGCUUCCCUUCUCAGAAGUCCAAAGUAUUUUCUCAAGUUAUGGACUUAAUGUUUAUGUCCUCCCUCCCAACCCCCGCUGUUAACAUGUUGAAGCUCUGACUUCACCAUUACAGAGUACUUGGAGAUGGGGCAUUUGGGAGGUAACAGGAGUCAGGCCAUGAGGGCAGGGCCUUCUUGAUGGGUUUAGAGAAAGAGGAAAAAGAGAUUUCCUUUUCUCUAUCCCUCCAGUGUACAAACCAAGGAAAGGCCAUAUAAAGACAUGAGAAGGUGGCCUCUGCAAGCUAGGAAGAGCACCCUCACCAGAAAUGAAAUUGCCUAGUACCUUGAUCUUAGAUUUCACAGCCUCCAGAACUGUGAGAAAACAAGUUGUUCAAUCCACCUAGUCCUUGGUCCUUUGUUUUGGCAGCCUGAGCAGAUUUUCAUACCCAGAAAGCUCUGUAUCUGAUGUCUGCUGACCUCAUCUUCUUAUUCUUCUUUUGUUCACUGAAUUUGACACAUUGUCUUCAUUGGAUGCUUCAAACACUAAAGUAUGCUCAGGCUCUGAGGCCUUGGCACUUGGUGUAAGUGGGUGGGAUUUAUGGGGAAGGAGUUAUUUAUAAACCUCCCUCCCAACACAC